AGUGAACGCUGGCGGUAGGCCUAACACAUGCAAGUCGAACGGCAGCACAGUAAGAGCUUGCUCUUACGGGUGGGGAGUGGCGGACGGGUGAGGAAUACAUCGGAAUCUACUUUUUCGUGGGGGAUAACGUAGGGAAACUUACGCUAAUACCGCAUACGACCUACGGGUGAAAGCAGGGGAUCUUCGGACCUUGCGCGGUUGAGUGAGCCGAUGCCGUAUUAGCUAGUUGGCGGGGGAAAGGCCCACCAAGGCGCCAAUCCGUAGCUGGGCUGGGAGCAUGAUCAGCCACACUGGAACUGAGACACGGUCCAGCCUCCUACGGGAGGCACCAGUGGGGAAUAUUGGACAAUGGGCGCAAGCCUGAUCCAGCCAUACCGCGUGGGUGAAGAAGGCCUUCGGGUUGUAAAGCCCUUUUGUUGGGAAAGAAAAGCAGCAGGUUAAUACCCCGCUGUUCUGACGGUACCCAAAGAAUAAGCACCGGCUAACUUCGUG
rnacentral:rRNA from 1 species